rnacentral:rRNA from 1 species
UACGUAGGGUGCAAGCGUUGUCCGGAUUUACUGGGCGUAAAGAGCGCGCAGGCGGUCGUUCAAGUCGAGUGUGAAAGCCCCCGGCUCAACUGGGGAGGGUCACUCGAUACUGAUCGACUCGAAGGCAGAAGAGGGAAGCGGAAUUCCCGGUGUAGUGGUGAAAUGCGUAGAUAUCGGGAGGAACACCAGUGGCGAAGGCGGCUUUCUGGUCUGCUCUUGACGCUGAGGCGCGAAAGCUAGGGUAGCAAACGGG